UGGCAAUACAGUACAAAUAUAGUGUGUUUGAUUUGCACUGUAGUUGCAUUGUAUUGCCACU
rnacentral:pre_miRNA from 1 species